GAUGAAGAACGUAGCGAAAUGCGAUAAGUAAUGUAGAUUGCAGAAUUCAGUGAAUCAUCGAAUCUUUGAACGCAACUUGCGCUCUCUGGUAUUCCGGAGAGCAUGCCUGUUUGAGUAUCAUGAAAUCUCAACCAUUAGGGUUUCUUAAUGGCUUGGAAUUGGGUGUUGCCAGUCGCCUGGCUCGCCUUAAAAGAGUUAGCGUGUUUAACUUGUCUAUCUGGCGUAAUAAGUUUCGCUGGUGUCGGCUUGAGAAGUACGCUUCUAAUCGUCUUCGGACAAUUCUUGAACUCUGGUCUCAAAUCAGGUAGGGCUACCCGCUGAACUUAAGCAUAUCAAUAAGCGGAGGA
rnacentral:misc_RNA from 1 species